rnacentral:rRNA from 1 species
AGGACAUUACCGUUGCCAUACAA